AUGCCCACGCUCGCCUUCCACGGGAUGAACGUCGCCCGUCUCCAACGCUCGCCCCCAGUGUGGAUUGCCGCCACCUACCACUACUGCUCACCACGCGAAUCUGCCAUUCUUCCACAAUAUAUGGACGAGCGCCUUCACAUAGUACCCCUACAACUCCUCUGCUCGGCCGCUGCCGCACGGACGCGGUUGCAGUCGUCGUCGCCGUCAGCCGCUCCACCACUCGGCUGCUGCUGCAAGGAUGCGGUCAGCGCCGGCCUCUCCUGGAGCGCGGGUCGUCGCCGCCCGCCGCUCGGCUGCUGCCCCAUGGACACGCUCGCCCACACCCCUAGAGCCGCUGGCCUCUCCUGGAGCGCGGGUCGUCGUUGCCGCCGGCCGCCGCCACACGCGGCGCAUUGA
rnacentral:rRNA from 1 species